rnacentral:rRNA from 1 species
AGAGUUUGAUCCUGGCUCAGAUUGAACGCUGGCGGCAUGCCUUACACAUGCAAGUCGAACGGCAGCACGGGAGCAAUCCUGGUGGCGAGUGGCGAACGGGUGAGUAAUACAUCGGAACGUGCCCAGUAGUGGGGGAUAGCC